GUGCCCUGACUGGGAAUCGAACCGUGGCCUCCUAGUUCAUAUGUUGACACUCAGCCACUAAGCCACGCAGGCCAAGCAAUUCUUCUUGAUUUUCAACCUGCUUUGUUAAGUUAUAAAAUGCAUUACCUGGGAGAUAGUCUUUCUAUACAUACUAUAGCUAACAAUUAUUCUCAUUUGGGCCUUUGCAGGAUUGUUACUUAUAGCACUCAUGCUCUAGGCCAGUGGUGGGGAACGCCCCGUCUGUGGGCCAUAAAAGCCCCACGAAGUCAUUUGGUCUGGCCCUGCCAAGGCAUUAGGGCUAAAUAACUAUAUAUACAUUGAAAAACCUUUAAACAGGAAAGUCAAAAAGCUAAUAUCAAAGCAGCAAAGAAUCUCUUGCUAGAUCUUGUUCAGAUUGUGUUGCGGAGUGGAAUAGUUGAGAGAAUUUUAGGUGUACAACAUAGUGAUUAGACGUUUAUAUAUCUUAUGAAGUGAUGACC